CUUGUGCACGACGGGUUUUAAACUUUUUAUGUGUUAGGUAUUUUAAUAGUAUAUUUAUUGUGCAAAUUGCAGGGAUAUAUUAAAAUGAAUAGUUGAACAUCGAGAUAGAUUAUAAUCACGGUACAAUGGAUUGCAUGUAAUAGUUUAAUGGCUGUGAUUAAAACUGCAAAUUGUAAGUAUUUUACCGUCUUAAUUAUAAAAAUAUUUGAUUAUUACAUAUUUUAUAACUACAAUGUAUUUAAUCCUUCAUAACAUAUUUUUUGUAUUACGACAAUAUUAAAUCUUUUGUUUCAAUACAAAAACAUAGCUGAAAAUAUCGGAACAGUAAUAUACCGAUAUUUUAUACAGUUUGUGUAAACUGGAUUUAAGACUGCAAAACUCUCUGAGUAAAUUUAAAACACCAGGCGAACCCAAAAAUGAAGGUACAUUGGGAAAUGCAUUUAUGAAAUGGAGGAACGCAACUCGCGUUUCUGGUUCCGGCAAUAUGAUAAUUAUUACAAUUGAAUAGAAAGACGUGUUGGAAACCCAAGACACCUACGUCAAUAUACAAGCUUCGACAUAGUGGUGUUCAUUCAACAUGUCAAACUCUAAAUAAUUCGGAGUCUACACAGCUACUUUUGCAUAGGUACUAUUUCUGUACUAAAGAUUUGUAGUACUGGAAAUCUACUUUUAAUAUUCAGUACUAUUUUGUUACUCUAAAAUUAUUGUAAUAUUUAGGUACCUGUAUUUUACAGUACUUUAUUUGUACUUGAAAUUUAGGUACUACAGAUUUUUGGUUACUACCUUUACAUUUUCAGCGUUUUGAAAGUUUUUCUAUUUAAAAUCUCUUUGUUUAAGUUAUGAUUUUCAAACAUGGAAUAUUAUAUUAUUUCUGUACAAAAAUAUUUAGUACAAAUCAAGUACUGUAAAAUACAAGUACCUAAAUAUUACAAUAGUUUUAAAGUAAAGAAAUAGUACUAAAUAUUAAAAGUAAAUUUCUAGUACUGCAUUUUUUUAGUACGGAAAUAGUACCUAUGCAAAAGUAGCUGUGUAGAAGAGUUAUGACGAAAUUUUAUAGAAACUGAUAAAGAACCGACACAAACACAAAAUUUCUAUAGACUGGCGAAUCUUGAAAGACAACAACUGACUUCAGACAAGCACAAAACUGGCGGUGAAAUGUUUACUAGUACAUUAUUUGUCUUUCAUCGGGAUUUAAUAUGUCCUUUUAUGCAAACAUUCACCAAAAAUAGAUUAAAGUUUAUUCUUCUUUAAUGCUUAAUAGAUUCUUUACUAAAGUCAAAGCUUAUGGUAUAUUGGGAGUAAUUAUACCAAUGUGCCUUUAUAUAAAAAGUUAAAUCACAAAAAUACUGAAAUCAGCGGAAAAUCAAUUCGGAAAGUCUAUAAUCACAUGGCAAAAUCAAAUAACAAAAAAUAUUAUUGGUAUCAUUUUAUUUUUACCACUUGGUCAAUAUCUCUGUUCGCAGACUGGCGUUCAUAAGGACCUGGUGUCAACAGCUCGGUAGCGGCUCACUACAUCAGUACUGUCAUGAAAAUUUCAAUGAUAAUAUUUUGAAAUUUAGUAGAAUAUCUCCCUGGUGCAUAGCUUUAAACUUUUUAUGAAAAUAGGGAAAUGUGGUAUGAUUACAAGUGAGACCACUAGUCAUCAGAGUUCAAAUAAAGGGGAUGUAAACAAUUAUAGGCAUACGUACGACCUUCAAAAAAUGAGUAAAUCCCACGUGGAGAGUUGUUCUAUGAUUGAGAAAUAUAGUUUAACGUUAUAGGAUUAGACGAGUAAUAUUUCUCGUUGGAUUCACCAAAAAAAAAAAGAAGAGGAAAAGUAAACAAUACACCCUUUAAAACACUGUCAAUCUAAGAAACUUUCAAACAGAUGUUUGUGGGAAGUAUGUUUUUUUUGUCAGUUAAGUUUUGUCAAAAAUACUCCAACAUUUGUAUGUAAUAAUCAUGAAAAACUAUUAUAUUUGUAUAUGUUUUUUAUGCUUUUCCUGCUUUGUAGAUAUUAAUUCCCGUAUGAAAUUAACUUUGUGAUAAAUCAUUUAUCUUUUUUAUCCAUAAACUGAAAAUAUCAUUAGUAAUGAUUAAUGCAUAAUUACAAGAAAUUAAUAAAGAUAAAAAAUAGGACCUUGAACAUGAUAAAACAAGAACUGACUAAAUGAUUACUUCCCUCUUCUAUAGCUACAAUGUAUCUGUCUGUUCUUUUUAGUGAUACAUUAUGUAGUCAAUUGAAUACUAGAGGUCAAAGGCUUUUCUUUAAGUGUAUAAGUUGAUAACGGGUGUUCUAAGGAUUUCAAUGAAAUUGGAUUGGAAAAUACUUAUCUUGACAAAAUUAUUGAAGUUUUUAUAUACCACAGUCAAACGAAAAUGUCAGUUAGUUUGCAUUUAACAGUAAACUAUUUGUUUAUAUUUGUCAAUCAAUUACUUACGUAUGAAGUAUAUCUAUAAAGUGUAGAUCCAACUGUUUAAUAUUCUUUUAAAAUUUUACACACAAGUCUUUCUGCUUUUAACUUUUCCAGUAAAAGUAACACUUUUUCUUCUAUCCGAAGUAUUUUUAUGGGUGUACUUUUAUUAGGGACGGUCGCUCAAACCAAAAUAUUUGAAAGAAAAGGAUAUAUAACAACGUAGAAAAAUUAAAAGCUAUGACCAAAAGUAACAGGAAAAUAAUUUACAUGGUCGACUUUGUCUGAUAGAGUUGGUACCUUAAUUUCCCAUUUAUCAAUAGCUAAUUUUAGAUAAAUAUAUUAUAAAAAUGGUAGUAUCGAAGCAAUGUCUAUUGAGACUGUUUAUGUCUUCGAGAAAAAACGUCCAUCAGCAAUUGCAUCGACACAGUGCAAAUAUCGAAUAUCAUAGAGCACGUUUGUCGGCAACUGGCUUUCUGAAAGAUAUCAUGCAUUUGGUCAGAAAUCCCUUACAUAGUGUAUAUGAUGCGAAUAGUAAAAACAAUUAUUCAAUGGUAUUGUUUCUCUGUAUAUUUUCCCCUUGAGAUUAUCAAUAAACUCAUCAUAGAUACCAAAAUUGUAAUUCUAUACCCAUGCCAGAUGCGCGUUUCGUCUACAAAAGACUCACCAGUGCCGCUCGAAUUAAAAAAAAAAAUAAAAAAGGCAAGAUAAAGUUCGAAGUUGAAGAGCUUUGAGGACCAAAAAUUCCUAAAAGUUUUGCCAAAUACAGCUUAGGUAAUCCAUUCCUGAGGUAGAAAAGCCUUAGUAUUUCGAAAAUUCAAAGUGUUAACAGUUGAUCUAUAAUAAUGAACAUAUCAAUGAUAACUCAUUUCAACACAGAUGUGCUGACUACUAGGCGGGAGAUACCAUCGGUGAUUUAAACUCCACCAGCAGUGGCAUCAACCUAGUGGUUGUAAAUAUACUUAUCAUAGAUACCAGGAUUGAAAUAAUUUUGAUAAGAAAAAAAAGAACCAUAAAAAGACAUCCAUAAUAAAAAACAAAAACAAAAACUAACAGUAAUACUGAUUAAGUUUUAGAUCUGAGAUAUGAUUUCAGCUGUAAUACUUUAAUAUUUGAUGCACCACUAAAUACGGUAUCGUUCUUAUAUUUAUUUUACAAAAACACCCAAAGACAUAUUGAUGCUAAUAUAUCAUUUUAUUGUAUAGCAAUAUAAUAUUUCCCACAGAAAGUAACCAAAAGUUAGCGUGCAAUAAAUUCAAAUAUUGCACUAGUGCAAUAAAUCUUCAAAAUUCAUGACGUCACCAACGACCAAAUUUUAGUUUAAAACAAUUUUUACUUUCAAAUAUUAUAUUGCUAUACAAUAAAAGGGUUAUUGCAUGAAUAUUCGGGAAUAUUGUCCCUCGUAGAACAUAUAUUGCACUCGCAAGCUCGUGCAAUAUAAAAUUCUACUCGGGACAAUAUUUCCCAAUAUUCAUGCAAUAACCCUAUAUUAUAUAGUUACUGGAAUAUUAAAAGUGAAAAAUACUGAAUUUUUUUCAGAACAAUUAAAAGUAAUACUAAUUGUUAGCUUUUAUUGUGAAUAUAACAUUUAAAUACAUGUAUAAGGGCAGAGAAAUAAAACAAAAGGAGAUUCUGAAAACAUAACGGACCAUAUUAAUACACGACUUUGAUGACGUAAAAAUCCUCCGCAUUUACUUGAUAAAUCCCAUAUGCAUGUAUGUAGUUUGUUUAGGUCUUUAUUUUUCUUCUUCUCGUUAAUCGACCCCAGAUUUACCAUACAAUGCAUGUAACUCAGUUGAACUUAUUUCUUUCUUUGGGUAUUGAUCCUGACGGUUUUGAUUUAGUUUUAAUUACGUCCCUGGUCAAUUUAGAAUAUUUAAUUUUCUGGUUGUCGACAUGUACAGCUGUUAUUAAACUCAUACUUAAUUUCACAAUCCCUGUAAUUAGAUUAAUACGCUGUGUCUCAAUCGCAAUUAUACCUUAAUCAUUUAUCUCAUAGAGCUGCAUGUUGUUUUUAACAAUUAUAACUGGAGAUUCAAUACUUUAUAAGAGUCUCACCACUUGUAAUACAUAUAAUACAAUCAUCAUAAUAUAUACAUUGAAUAAAACAAAAAACUUAUAAAUUAAAAUUGUCAAAAUCCGGAUAUGGUGUACUAAUGUUUGCAUCUUUAGUUUGAGGUUUAUCAUCUUUUCCAAAAGUUUAUUGUUUUCUGUUCGGUAUUAAAUUAAUUAUUAAGAUCCAUUAUGUUAAUCUGGUGAACUGUAUAUUUGACAAUUGUCAAUGGCAAUCAGCAGGGUAUAGAAACACCUGUUGUUCGACCUGCUAGUCAAAUGCGUUUUGUUAAAACUAAUUUUUCACUUUUAUUGUAUUUUUGAAAAUGUUGUUUUUGUUGUAUUUAGACCCUCUACAAAGACAUUUGUUUUGUAUGCACACGUAUAAAAAUGCGGUUUUUAUCCAACGCAAAAGUUUGAGCGUUGUUUUCAACGAGUGGUCUACGUGGUCGGGUGAUCUAGUACGUCGGACAUAGUGAAAGGCGAUUCGUUGCCACGAUAUCUCAGUAGCAUGAGUUCGAACCUCUUAUAUGACCUAAAUUGGGCAUCCACCAAUCAGGCCGUAAGUUUCUUUAACUCCAUACAGCUAAUUUGACGUACCUCUUGCUGUUCGGUUGGUGUACUACUGGGUCACAUCAAUCGAAAUCACCAUUCCUUUAUACCUACAGUAUAUAAGGUAGCGGAACAUACACUUCCCAGUGAAAUGUUUUAACACGGUUGCAUCCAAACUAAAUAUCCCCUAUAAAUAAAGGCAACAGUAGUACGUAUCGGUAUUCUAAGGUCAAAAAAUUGAUUAAGAGAAAACACAUCCGGGUUUCAAACUAAAACCGGGGAAAACACAUCAAAUAUAAUAGGAAAACAAAGCAACAACAGUAACACUCAAGUGCAACAAAUACAAACGCCAACAUACAUAGAAACGAAUUAUUUGAUAACAACUACCAUAUUCUUGACUUGGUACAAUACAUUUUCAGUUCAAAAUGGUGGGUUGGACCAUGUUUAAUACUGUAAAUAUGUCGCAUAUACAAAUCAGAAUAUGUUUUAAAACGCACUUUGAUAACUAUAUAUGCCAAUAAAAACUAUCAUAUUCGAACUAACCAUGGUAGUAUAUUUCCGAAGAAAUGUGUCUACUCUUGCAUUGAUUGUUCAAAAACGUCGAAAUUGUGAACGUUAGGAAUUCAUAAAGGGAAAGCUUAAACAUUGUCAGAAAUCUGCAUUUCAAAGGAAGUCUGUGAAUUCCUGCAACAAAUGGUACAUUUUUUCAUGUGUUGUUUUUCUAUUUACACUCUGUAUGAAAUAUGUUUAAACCCUUAUUACAAUACAGCUGGAGUAUAAUUCGCGUUUUAAAAUAUAUCAAACAUUACCGAGUUACGAUUAAAGAAACGUUUAAGCUGCUUGACCCUUUGCCUUUGUAAUUAAAAUUAAUGCAACAGGACUGGAUUGAUUUUCAUGAAAUUGUAUAGACUUUAUUUGCUUGACCGAUAAUACAUUUCUGUUUUGACACUUUUAACCAAUCAUUGCAAAAGUUAAUCCAAUUAUGUACCUAAAGUACAACUAUUUCACUUUCAUAAAUGUAAUACCGACAAGCAUAAAAGUCAAAAGUAAAAAAGUUAUCUCGAAGUUCUAUGUAUUGAACAAAAUACCAUACUGCCACACUUUUCAGACAUUUUAAUAGGAUAUCAAAUUGAUUGUAUAUAAACCAAUGGAUAUCAAACAAAUAAGUAAUUUCGAUUUCCGUUUUAGAAAUAUUUGUUCAAGUCAGGGUAUUCUAGGUUAAAGAAUAAAGGGGUUAUCUGUCAUGUAAUUUAAUGCUAAUAUUAUGCAACUUUAAAUAAUUAAUUAAACAGUUUUGCAAUAACUUUAUCAUGCAAUAAUUGUUUGACUUUUAUUGUUUGCAUUAUAUUCGAUAUUAAACCGUGUUUUUGUUGUCAUUCUUGCCUUUGAAAUCUUGAUUACCGAUUUUUCUCAAGAAAAGUAGACAUAAUAGAUACCCAUACGUCAGGAAUUAUCAAAACUCAUUCAUGAGUCGAAAAACAGCCUUUUUUGUACAAAAAUUAGGCCGUUAGUUUUCUCGUUUAAAUUGUUUUACAUUUGUUAUUUGGGGCCUUUAAUAGCUGACUAUGCGACAUGGGAUUUGCUCAUGGUUGAAGGCCGUGUGGUGACCUAUAGUUGUUAAUUUCUGAGUUAUUUGGUCUUUUGUGAAGAGUAGUCUCAUUGGCAAUUACACCACAUCUACUUUAUUAUAUUCACCAUUGCCAACAAGAAUAAUAACGAAAAGACAAACUACAGUAAAAAGAAGAGAGAAGAUCUCAGAGUAUUUUACGAGUCAGCUAGAUAAAAGUCGAAUUACGGAUAUCUCCAAAAUUAACUACCUUAUAACAAAAAGACAAUACUGUUCUGGUUUUUUCUCGAAAAUUUUAGUUUCUUGAUUUCAAAGGCCAAACCAGUUCGAGGGAUUUAAAUUUUUCGUUUGUCACUGACUCUUAUCUCCCUGAGUGAUCAUUUCAGAGGAGGAAACAUUUUCGUGAUUUUAUUUGAAUCGAGAAAUUAGAGAAAAAUAAACCAUUCGCAAGGAUUUCAUACGGUUUAAUAUAUAGUGUUACUUUAAUAGAGUGAAGGUUUUGUAUAAACAUGUUUUUCUUGUGCUAUUUUGGAUGAUACACGUCCAAAAUCUGCAGCCACCAAAGUUUGUGCCUUCUUUUCAAGAAUUUAUUAUCAAUUUCAAGUUCAUUCAGAAAUACAACAUGUCGUUACGGACAUAGAGGACACGCGUGAAGCUGUGACACACAUACUUUGAGUAGAGGUUGAAGGAUAUUUUGAAAACAAACCGCUCAAGCAAUUUAUAUUUGUUUAAUUUUCCAUUUAUUUAGUGUUACUCAAGAAAUCUGAAGCCUCAUAAACCUUUUUAUUCUCUUUACUAGCUUUUAUAUGGUAUACAUUAUGGUUUUCAGAUUAUUUAUUUGCUCUAGUCUGGGUUUUUGUUUAAUAGUUGUUUUUAUUUUAUCAAAUGGAGAUUGAAUAAAUCAAUAAAUUCGUGACAUUUUAAUGAAUAAGUUCAAUACAGAGUCAUCAGCACCAAAUUUUCAACCCAAGUUCAAUUUAACUUAACAACAAAAGAUUAUAUUGAUUACUGUAUAUUAAAUAUAAUUUCUGAUCUCAAAUAAAUGUUGAACAAAUUGUACUUUUUAUACUCAUGACAUUUUCCAGCCUAGUAGUCAAUACUAUGAAUACAAUGCUAUGAAAAUACAAAUAUUGUUGUGAAUGAAAUUUACUGUUAUAAAAUUUUAGAAUUCAUUUUAAAACAUCUGCUUACCAUUCCGGAGCACCUGAUAUCACCCCCAUUUUCGGUGGGGUUCGUGUUGCUUAGUCUAUAGUUUUCUUGUUUUGUCAUUUGUACUUUUAUUUGUCUGUUUGUCCUUUUGUUUUGUUUAAGUCAUUGCGUUGUCAGUUUAUUUUCGAUCUUUGAGUUUGAAUGUCGCUCUGGUAUCUUUCUCAUCUCUUUCAAUAAAGGAAUAGUUCUCUCUUAUGUUGAGCUCUGAUUCUCAGUAUGGUUUUGGCUAUACUUUGUGUCUUUUUGGUUGAUCAGUCCUUCAACAUUUGUUUCAGGGUUUGGAUUUUCAAAUACGUUUGCCCCAGCAUCACCGAAGAGGUAAUAAUUGUCGAAAUACUCAUCUGGUGCAGAACAGUUGAUACAGUUUACUGUUUGUCCUUUUAAUUUUUAACCAUGGCGUUGUCAGUUUAUUGUCGAUUUAUGAGAUUGACUGUCCCUCUGGUAUCUUUCGUCCCUCUUUUUACUAGUGUAUUAUUUCAAAUACCAAGAACGAGAAAGAACUUAACUGAUAUAAAUGUUUCAUGCGUUUUACAUUUCAUAACCAUUGAUUAUCGUCAACAUGUUUGUUAUUUUUGCCAAUUUUGUACAUCAGGUUCUUCUAUUUCAGGUUGGUAAUCCAAUGUCAGAACCGUUCGGUCAAUUUGCAGACCGAGGUAAGUAAAUAAAUAAUUAAAAAAAAAAACAGGAUUCGAAAUAGGGGGAAAAUCAAUAUUAAUUCUAAAUAGAAUUUUUAUAGAAAAAUAUAAAUCUGCGCCACUUUAUAAAAAAGUAAAGUUUUUUUCUCCUUAGCUAAUGAGUAAAUUACUAAAUUAUGUACAUAUAUAUAUAUAUAUAUAUUGUCAUUGUCAUUUACUGUGUAUAUAGAAACCAAGAUUAAGUUUCAACCUAGGUUUGGUUUAGGCCAAAACAAGAUUUCUAUGGUGAUGUCUCCAAAUUUUCAAAGAGAGUUCAAGAUUGUUUACAGUGAAUGAUAUAUAAGACACAGAUGCACUCGAUUGGUCUUCGAAAUAUAAAAGAUUAAAGCCUUGAUAUGACGGCACAGAAAGAAUUUCCACUGAUGCCUGUUUGAAGAAUUUCCGACACCAUCAUGUUAAAAAAUAUUAAAACAUGGUUUUAUACGAAAAAUACUCUUAAUGAUGCGUAACUAUCAAAACAAGAAAAAAAAAAUAUCAAGAAAAAAAACACCAGGAGAUUGCACCUCAACACAUUGUCUAAUAAUGGUCUGACGUGCAACAACAUGUUUGAUAACUGCUUGGGGCAUUUCUUUGAAGUCUGGACGUCGGUGUAUUGACUGGUUGGAGCUAAAGCCAGCCCCCAUAUAAAAGACACCCGAACGACAUCAGACCGAUCUCCAACGAAUUAAUAGAGAGCGAUAAGACUUCCAGCUGGAAUGUUAACCGUUUUGAGCUUUCUUAAUCGUAUCUUCAACUACGACAUAGCUGUAUGGUGUCGAGCUAAAAAAAAUAAGAAAUUAUUAUAAAAAAUGUUUGAUUUAUGUUCUUUUGAUCCGGACGUUGAUUUUUCUUCUUUUUGUUUUUAUUCAUUUCAAUAUUUCAAUGUAGUCAAUCUAGAUUCCAAUGGUCAAACUUGCCAUACAAUUCAGAUACACAGCCAGUUAAAAGCAAAUGUAACUGCUUUUAACCUCGUUAUCCUGAGUAUGACACUUCUUUAUUUUUUUAUUUCAAUUUUUAUGGCCCCGCAACGAAGUUUUCGGUGCCAUAUAGUUUUACCCUUGUCCGUCUUUCCGAAAUUCCGUCAUUCCGAAAUUCUGCAAUCCGUCAUUCCGCAACAAACCAUUAUACGGAGUUUUUUUAUGCCCCACCUACGAUAGUAGAGGGGCAUUAUGUUUUCUGGUCUGUACGUCCGCUCGUCUGUUCGUCCGUCUGUCCGUCCGUCCGUCCGUUCGUUCGUUCGCCAGGAUUCAGGUUAAAGUUUUUGGGCAAGGUAAUUUUUGAUAAAAUUGAAGUCCAAUCAACUUUAAACGUAGUACAUGUUCCCCAUGAUUAUCUUUCUAAUUGUAAUGCCAAUUAAAGUUUUGACCCCAAUUUCACGGUCCAACUGACAUAGAAAUGAUAGUGCGAGUUCAGGUUAAAGUUUCUGGUCAAGGUAGUUUUUUAUGAAGUUGAGUUCAAUCAACUAUGAAACUUAUAUAACAUGUUCCCUAUGAUAUGAUCUUUCUAAUUUAAAUGCCAAAAUUAAAAUUUUGACCCCCAUUUCACGGUCCAUCGAACAUGGAAAAUGAUAGUGCGAAUGGGACAUCCGUGAACUAUGGACACAUUCUUGUUUCAUUUAUAAAACUAUUUACAGUAUAAAAAAGUCCCUUCAAGAAAUUUGAAUUAUAGCACAUUUUCAUUUUGGAUAGGUUCCGUUACAUAAACAUGGUUACCCAUAUGAAAGGUAAGGUGUUUACACAAGCAGAUUUUGUUCCGAAUGCUUUGUUUUAUUUUGCUGUUUGGUGUUGUUUGUUUUGCUUUGAUUUUUGUUUAAUUUUUGUACUGGAAAUUGAUUUUGAUAUUUUGCAUAGAACACAAUAAUUUGGCCAUUUAGCUUAUAUAGUCUUGGUGUAUAUUCUACUACUAGCACACGAAGAAGGAGUAUUUGCACAAAAUCGUCAUGCUCCCGUUUUCAUUUUGACAAUUUUUUUAUGUUCUUAUUCAUCAGUUUUGGUAAUGCGUCUAGAUAUAUUGUUUGGUAGCUUUUCAGCCAUUCAUUAUGACGUUGAUGUUGAGAGGUAAAUAACUGCUACUGAACAUAGACUAAAUCGAUCAAAAUGACUGUUUCAGAUCAAAAUUUGUUUACUACUGACACUCAUUCACUUUGAACCGCCGAUAUUAAAAUUCAACCCAUCAAUGAAGAACUUCGAGAUAAAGGAAAAAAUUCACACGAAUGCAACAAUGCAACAAUCGGGAAUAGAUCACAUUUGGUAAAGUAACAGGUCUGAUGCCUAUUUUAUUUUCUGAAUACCACGAAUUCAUGUCUCAAGUCAGUGAGUUAAGACGCAACUUAUAUAGUGUUAAUUUUGGUCGUUUUUCCUUGUAGCUCUGUUGGGGAGAACACAUCCCAGUUAAUUUAUAAUCUGAGAUCACCCUCAGUGUUUGGUGGAGUUCGUGAUGCUCAGUCUUUAGUUUUCUAUGUUGUUUUUUUCUGUACUAUUAUUUGUCUGUUUGUCUUUUUCAUUUUUAGCCAUGGCGUUGUCAGUGUAUUUUCGAUUUAUGAGUUUAACUGUUCCUCAUGCAUCUUUCGCCCCUCUCCUUUGCACAUGCUAGAGCGUGAUGUAUCAAUUGUACGACAUACGAUAGACAUACCGCGUUUAGACACCUUCAUUUGCUGCAUAUGCACAAGACCCUUGCUUAUUAAAGUUUUAAAGAUGCACAAUAAAACAACUAAAACUCAUAUAGAUUGGAAGAACAUUCAUAUUAGUUGGUACAAUGAAAGAUGAUUCAAGUUCAAGAAAAGCGUCUUUAUAAUAGAACAUAGAAACAUUAAUGGAAAUGAUUACAUACAAAUCAUAAUAACCGCGUUGUCAACUAUUUUUUAAUACGUUUGUCUGUUAUAUUGACAGCUAUUUCUACGAAUACGUGUUCAAAUAUUGUCAGAAAUCAAAUGCAUUGUUUUAGUGCAAUAUUUUUCAAUGUUCAUGUUUAAUAUUUAAGCGACAUCUUCCAUAACCUGGUAUAUGACACAUAAAAAUGAAUUUAGACAUAAUGUACAGCAUGUAAAUAUAUACUCGUUUUCCUUAAGUCAUUUAUUCAUUUCGUUUUUACAGAUUAUGUGUGGAUCACAGGAGUCGUUGUGUCAGCAGUGAUAGUAGUCAUUGUUCUUGCCAUUAUUAUAAUUUAUGCCUAUUUGAAAUGGAAACGGGAAUACCUAAGGACAAAUCCAAAAGCUGCGAGGAAGAAAGGGGAUCCACGACCUACAUUUCCUUUAUAGCAUUUGAUAAAAAAAGUAUUUAAAUAUGCUCUCUGAGUAUUUAUUGCAGCACCUAAGUGUUCAUAAAGCGUUACAACGAAAAAAUGUUGUUUUUCUGGUGCCUUAUAAACAUCGACCCAACAUUAUAGAUGGGUGAAAGGACGAAAUAAAUUUAAAUUAAACUGUGACGUAUGAAUAAUUAUGUGACUAUGACAUUUGUUAUUCUAUACUGAGCUAUACUGAACUUCAGAUAAUUCGCCGUUUCAUAAUCUAAUGCAUCUUGGGUAAUAUUUUCAAAAGUGUACACCAAAACGUCCUGAUUGGUUAAAAAUGUCACAAACAAUGGAAAUUUAACCAAUGACGUUACAUUAUUUUCAUUCAUAGUACAAUGGAAUUACCCAUGAUUCUUUGGAUUCUGAAGCGGCCAAUUAUGGUGCGUAACAACAAGCUGUGUUUUGUUAUACAUUGUAAAUAUUUAUUAUAUGAUAAUGGCAAAAAAUAUUCAAUUUGAAUUAAAAAAAAACCCACUUAUUAUUAUAUAAUAUGACUAACCAAGAUCCAGUUAUGCAUAUUUAGGGCAGC
rnacentral:lncRNA from 1 species